UNGAAUGCCCUAUGAAAACCUCUGCCAUGGU
rnacentral:piRNA from 1 species